GUCGUGAGAUGUUGGGUUAAGUCCCGCAACGAGCGCAACCCUUGUCAUUAGUUGCUACAUUUAGUUGGGCACUCUAAUGAGACUGCCGGUGACAAACCGGAGGAAGGCGGGGAUGACGUCAAGUCAUCAUGCCCCUUAUGUUCAGGGCUACACACGUGCUACAUUGGCGCGUACAGAGGGCUGCGAUACCGCGAGGUGGAGCGAAUCCCUUAAAGCGCGUCUCGGUUCGGAUUGAAGGCUGAAACUCGCCUUCAUGAAGGCGGAGUUGCUAGUAAUCGCGGAUCAGCAUUGCCGCGGUGAAUACGUUCCCGGGCCUUGUACACACCGCCCGUCACACCACGGGAGUGAGCAACACCCGAAGCCGGUGGCCCAACCCUUUGGGAGGGAGCCGUCGAAGGUGGGGCUCGUGACUGGGGUGAAGUCGUAACAAGGUAGCCGUAGCGGAAGCUGCGGCUGGAUCACCUCCUUUCUAGGGAGUGCCUUCGGGCACCCGCGGGGCUUCGGGCCUCGCGGCCUAGCAUGUCGACCGGUCCUGGACGCCCGCGCUCUUCGGAGCUCGGGUUGCAUGCUGCUGAGUUUUGAGAGACCGACCGCUUCCGGUCCGCGUCCGCGCCCCCGUGUGCGGACGCCGGCCGUUGAAGGUCGAGCCCUUCUCGGCGGUCCUUGAAAACUGCACAGGUGUCACACACACGGCAACUCGCGCUCUUGGGUGCGCGUUGCCGUAGCAACGGGUUCACCGAGCCGCGUAGCUGCGUCGACUUCGUCGACGAGCCGGCGUUCACACGCCGGCGCUGUUACGCGGCUUUGAUCACCGUCAAGAUAGUAAGGGCAUGUGGUGGAUGCCUUGGCACCUAGAGUCGAUGAAGGGCGUGGACGGCUGCGAUAAGCCACGGUGAGGCGCUGAACAGCCUUUGACCCGUGGAUGC
rnacentral:sRNA from 1 species